UUAAAAAGCUCGUAGUUGAAUUUCGGGGUUAGUAGGUUGGUCAUGCCUCUGGUAUGUACUGGUCUCACUGAUUCCUCCUUCCUGAUGAACCUUAAUGCCAUUUACUUGGUGUUUUGGGGAAUUUGGACUGUUACUUUGAAAAAAUUAGAGUGUUUCAAGCAAGCUAACGCUUGAAUACAUUAGCAUGGAAUAAUGAAAUAGGACGUUCGAUCCUAUUUUGUUGGUUUCUAGGAUUGACGUAAUGAUUAAUAGGGAUAGUUGGGGG
rnacentral:rRNA from 1 species